GACGAACGCUGGCGGCGUGCUUAACACAUGCAAGUCGAACGGUAAGGCCCUUUCGGGGGUACACGAGUGGCGCACGGGUGAGUAACACGUUGUUGAUCUGCCCUGCACUUUGCGAUAAGCCUGGGAAACUGGGUCUAAUACCUGAUAGGACUACGCGAUGCAUGUCGUGUGGUGGAAAGCUUUUGCGGUUUGGGAUGGGCCCGCGGCCUAUCAGCUUGUUGGUGGGGUGAUGGCCUACCAAGGCGACGACGGGUAGCCGGCCUGAGAGGGUGUCCGGCUAAACUGGGACUGCGAUACGGCCCAGACUCCUACGGGAGGCAGCAGUGGGGAAUAUUGCACAAUGGGCGCAAGCCUAAUGCAGCGACGCCGCGUGGGGGAUGACGGCCUUCGGGUUGUAAACCCCUUUGAGAGCAGACGAAGCGUAAGUGACGGUAUGUGAAGAAGAAGCAACGGCCAACUACGUG
rnacentral:rRNA from 1 species